rnacentral:rRNA from 1 species
AUUAUUUUAAGAUUAUUUUUUAUUGUUGAAAAAAUUAAAAAUAAAUUGUUUUUAACAAAAAUUAAAAUUUAUAAUAUUUCAUUUUUUGGUUUUUUGUUUUAAAUUAAAAUAAUAAAUAUGGGGGAAAAAAAAAUUUUGUUAUAAAUUAUAUUAGUUUAUUUUAAUUAAAAAUAUUUUUUAUUAAAUUUGUUUUUUUUAUUUUUUUAUAAAAAAUAUUAAUUUAAUUAUUAUUAUUGAGUUUAAUUUAGUUAUUUUUAAAAAAAUUUUGUAUAAAAUAAAUUUGAUAAUAAAUGUUUUUUAAAUUCUUUGGGGGUUUAGUUUAUGAUUUUUUGUUUCUGCUCAUUGUUAAAUAAAAGCACUUUUAGCGUGAUGGCCAAAAGGAAAA